rnacentral:lncRNA from 1 species
ACCCUCAGAGAAAGAGAGAGUCUUUGGAGAGUUGUGAGGAGAUAAGUGACAUAAACUGGCAUGUUCUGAAAGAAUCACUCUGGAUGCUGUGUGGAGAAAACACUGAAAAGAAUUCUAGAGUGAAAGUUUCAUGAAUAUAAGAAGCAAGACAAGGAAGUGGCUUAUGCUUAAGGCCUUAAAGGCAACCACUGUGACAAUCCAGCCAUUCUCUGGAGAAUUCAGCAGAAAGCCAGUUGGAAAGACCAAAAUGCUGAACAGAACAGGAUUUGGUACAGCAGAGAGCAUGCAACUCUGGGAACUAUGGAAAAGGAUUCCAGGCAUCAUAAAGGAAGAAAGGCCAGAAAAGAAGGUGGUGGAUACCAAAAAUUCUGUGGACUACCUAAAAAAGCACCCAUCUUUAUAGGGGGAGAAUAAUUGACUCCAUUCAAGUGUUCGCUCCUGUUUCAAUCAACUAUGGCUGAAGAGUGAGGAGACAUUUGGAAUAAAUAUGGCUUCUGGGGGCCCAUUCCUAUGGAUCAGCAGCUGGCUUCUGGAGGCCCAUUCCUGUGAAUCGUCGAUCUCAUAGAAGAUAAUAUUGUUAGAAGGCUUACCUCAUUGAUGCUGAACAUCCUAAAAAGCUUCUGCUGCUUUGAGUCACUGAAAAAGACCAAGAAACAUGAAUUUAAAAAAAAAUUUCAAAUGUUAUAAAAUAAAUAAUAUGAACUCAUUAU